rnacentral:lncRNA from 1 species
AAGCAGACGAGAAAUGGCGGUUGGUGUAUGUGUUUUGAUGUAAAGUUAAUACAGUAUAGAGAUUUAGGAAAAGGGAUAUGAAAAGCAUUAAAUUUGUAUUUGAAUGCAAUAUCUAUCCAUAUAAUCGAAGAUGGAAGAUAGUGGUAUAGAUAGUGAUUCUAAAUCUAAUAGUAAUAGUUGUGUUGCUGCUCCAUCUGUGUGCAAUGGGCGUGAAUCGUCGAUGGCUGUACGGAAAGAAAACAAAUCAGAGGAAUCGAAUUUACAAGAGGUAGAAAAUCAAAAAGAUGAAAUUGGUGAAACUAUUCCUACAUCGUCAUCACAGUUAAUGACUACAGUUCAGUUACAAAAACGCCUUGUGCUAUUUCUCAAUUACUGAUUGAUUAUUAGUGGUGGGGCCAUUUUAAAUAAAACUAUGAGAUAAUCACACCUAUGGUGGAAGCAAUCAAACUGUAGAAGAUGGAACUGAUAGUCCAUUAUUUGAAUCUCUCAAGAAAACUUUACAAGAUGUGCAAUCUGGAUUUGAUUUCUGUCUUUGGAAUAAAAUUUUGCUAGUUUAGGUGCAAGAAAAAGCAUUUUCUUGUACCCCGUCUAGCAAAUUUAUUAAAAUCAAAUGUAGCUAUUACAAAAAAUAAAAUUUCAACUAAUUUGAUUUGUAUUGAAUAUUAUAAUUUAUUUUUUGUAUUAAAUGUUUAACCCUUUUGUGACUGCCUCUUUGGAAGCUAUUUUGCUUUGCAGACCACUGAUAUGAUUUGAAAUUUAAAAAUCUCUUUUAAAAGUUUAACCUUAGAUAUUUUUCAACAUAG